rnacentral:rRNA from 1 species
AGGACGAACGCUGGCGGCGUGCUUAACACAUGCAAGUCGAACGGUGAAGCCUUUCGGGGUGGAUCAGUGGCGAACGGGUGAGUAACACGUGAGUAAUCUGCCCUUGACUCUGGGAUAACUUCGGGAAACCGUGGCUAAUACCGGAUAUGACGCAUGGUCGCAUGGUCUGUGUGUGGAAAGAUUUAUUGGUCAGGGAUGAGCUCGCGGCCUAUCAGCUUGUUGGUGGGGUAAUGGCCUACCGAAGGCGACGACGGGUA